GCCAACGUGAGAAUUAUUUUCUUUUUUUUUUUCUUUGCUUUUUCAGGGUUGCUGGUGAAUUCUCCCUUCUGCUGCCUCAGGCACUGGCCAUGGUGCUGAAUGCUGAUGAUGUGUUGAAAGCCGGUUGUGUGCAGCCCUCUGCGGCAGGUAUACUCACUCUCCACUUUCUUCUGAAGUCCCUCUGAAGGGAGAAAUCUCACCACUGCUGCUGCCUUCAUUGUUCUCCAUGGCAACAGGUGGUAAGAAGGAUCUGAAGAAGACAUUUUUAGGCCAGUGGUGAAGCUCACCUCCCAUUGUUCAUCAGAGAGGUGAUGGACUAACGGUAUGCUAUGAGGUAAACAUUUUCAGACAUAGUCAUUGUGUUGAUUAAUUUUACUUGACUACACUUGUU
rnacentral:lncRNA from 1 species